AACAAUUACAAAGAUUUCUUCAUGAAGCACAAAGGACAUGAAAAACACAUUUCUAUUCUCACCAGCACGAUACAGAGGAAGACAUCAACUCUUGAUACAGAGGGACGGAACAACGGUGUUGGUGGACUUUUGGGAUACGGCUGAACUCUGACCUCUACAAUCAGCAACUGGUAUUCUGAAGAUGAACAUAAUACUCCUUCACUACAACCACACUGGGAGGAUGGGAAACCAGCAGAUGAAUCAUGUGGACUUUCAA